ensembl:snRNA U6 U6 spliceosomal RNA
GUGCUUGCUUCGGCAGCACAUAUACUAAAAUUGGAACGAUACAGAGAAGAUUAUCAUGGCCCCUGUGCAAGAAUGACACGCAAAUUUGUGAAGCAUUCCAUAUAUUU